ACUUUACAAUGCUGGCAACAGCGAUAAGGGAACCUCGAGUGCCAGGUUACAAAUCUGGCUGUCGAGAUGCCUAAAAAGCAUUGCAUAGCAAGGGCCGGGCAAGACCGGUGCCAGCCGCCGCGGUAACACCGGCGGCUCGAGUGGUAACCGUUAUUAUUGGGUCUAAAGGGUCUGUAGCCGGCCGGAUAAGUCUCUUGAGAAAUCCAGCAGCUCAACUGUUGGGCUUUCAGGAGAUACUGUCUGGCUCGAGGCCGGGAGAGGUGAGAGGUACUUCAGGGGUAGGGGUGAAAUCUUGUAAUCCUUGAAGGACCACCAGUGGCGAAGGCGUCUCACCAGAACGGACCUGACGGCAAGGGACGAAAGCUAGGGGCACGAACCGGAUUAGAUACCCGGGUAGUCCUAGCCGUAAACGAUACUCGCUAGGUGUCGGCCACGGUGCGACCGUUGUCGGUGCCGUAGGGAAGCCGUGAAGCGAGC
rnacentral:rRNA from 1 species